rnacentral:sRNA from 1 species
ACUCAUCAACCCUGUGAACAUACCUAAAACGUUGCUUCGGCGGGAACAGACGGCCCCGUAACACGGGCCGCCCCCGCCAGAGGACCCCUAACUCUGUUUAUAUUAUGUUUUUUCUGAGUAAACAAGCAAAUAAAUUAAAACUUUCAACAACGGAUCUCUUGGCUCUGGCAUCGAUGAAGAACGCAGCGAAAUGCGAUAAGUAAUGUGAAUUGCAGAAUUCAGUGAAUCAUCGAAUCUUUGAACGCACAUUGCGCCCGCCAGUAUUCUGGCGGGCAUGCCUGUUCGAGCGUCAUUACAACCCUCAGGCCCCCGGGCCUGGCGUUGGGGAUCGGCGGAAAGCCCCCUGUGGGCAUACGCCGUCCCCUAAAUACAGUGGCGGUCCCGCCGCAGCUUCCAUUGCGUAGUAGCUAACACCUCGCAACUGGAGAGCGGCGCGGCCAAGCCGUAAAACCCCCAACUUCUGAAUGUUGACCUCGAAUCAGGUAGGAAUACCCGCUGAACUUAAGCAUAUCAAUAAGCGGAGGAAAAGAAACCAACAGGGAUUGCCUCAGUAACGGCGAGUGAAGCGGCAACAGCUCAAAUUUGAAAUCUGGCUCUCGGGCCCGAGUUGUAAUUUGUAGAGGAUGCUUUUGGUGAGGUGCCUUCCGAGUUCCCUGGAACGGGACGCCAUAGAGGGUGAGAGCCCCGUCUGGUUGGACACCGAUCCUCUGUAAAGCUCCUUCGACGAGUCGAGUAGUUUGGGAAUGCUGCUCUAAAUGGGAGGUAUAUGUCUUCUAAAGCUAAAUACCGGCCAGAGACCGAUAGCGCACAAGUAGAGUGAUCGAAAGAUGAAAAGAACUUUGAAAAGAGAGUUAAAAAGUACGUGAAAUUGUUGAAAGGGAAGCGCUUGUGACCAGACUUGGGCUUGGUUGAUCAUCCGGGGUUCUCCCCGGUGCACUCUUCCGGCUCAGGCCAGCAUCAGUUCGCCCUGGGGGAUAAAGGCUUCGGGAAUGUGGCUCUCUCCGGGGAGUGUUAUAGCCCGCUGCGUAAUACCCUGUGGCGGA